GACGAACGCUGGCGGUGUGCUUCACACAUGCAAGUCGAACGAGGUAGCAAUACCUAGUGGCGGACGGGUGAGUAACGCGUGGGAAUCUGCCUUUAGAUGGGGGAUAACGGGUCGAAAGACUCGCUAAUACCGCAUAUGACGAAAGUUGAAAGGAGUAAUCCGUCUAAAGAUGAGCCCGCGUCCGAUUAGCUAGUUGGUAGAGUAAAAGCCUACCAAGGCGACGAUCGGUAGCUGGUCUGAGAGGAUGAUCAGCCACAAUGGGAACUAGAGACACGGCCCAUACUCCUACGGAGGCAGCAGUGGGAAUUUUACGCAAUGGGCGAAAGCCUGACGUAGCGACACCGCGUGAGCGAAGAAGCCCUUGGGGUGUAAAGCUCUGUCAGCUGGAACGAAAAAAAUGACGGUACCAGCAGAGGAAGCAUCGGCUAACUAACGUGCCAG
rnacentral:rRNA from 1 species